rnacentral:ncRNA from 1 species
GGCAAGAGUAGAAGCGUUCACUGCGUUGCCCCCCCUGUGCCAUCCUGCACGGGCGAUGCCAGUCGGAAAUUGCUCUUGAA